rnacentral:rRNA from 1 species
UACGUAGGGAGCAAGCGUUGUCCGGAAUCAUUGGGCGUAAAGCGCGCGUAGGUGGCCUCGUAAGUCCGCUGUGAAAGUCAAAGGCUCAACCUUUGAAAGCCGGUGGAUACUGCGGGGCUAGAGUACGGAAGAGGCGAGUGGAAUUCCUGGUGUAGCGGUGGAAUGCGCAGAUAUCAGGAGGAACACCAAUAGCGAAGGCAGCUCGCUGGGACGUAACUGACACUGAGGCGCGAAAGCGUGGGGAGCGAACAGG